UGCGAAGUAGAGUGGCGGCUUCGGCUGCCGAGGGUCGAUCCAUUUGGGAAAUGUUGUGUACUUCGGUAUGCAUCUCAAUUGGACCUGAUAUCAGGCAAGAUUACCCGCUGAACUUAAGCAUAUUAAUAAGCGGAGGAAAAGAAACUAACAAGGAUUCCCCUAGUAACGGCGAGUGAAGCGGGAAGAGCUCAAGCUUAAAAUCUCCGUGCAAGUUUUGCGCGGCGAAUUGUAGUCUAUAGAGGCGUGAUCAGUGUGGGCGCUUGGGGCAAGUUCCUUGGAAGAGGACAGCAUGGAGGGUGAUACUCCCGUUCAUCCCUGAGUUGCUCGUGCGUACGAUCCGUUUUCUUUGAGUCGCGUUGUUUGGGAAUGCAGCGCAAAGUAGGUGGUAAAUUCCAUCUAAAGCUAAAUAUUGGUGCGAGACCGAUAGCGAACAAGUACCGUGAGGGAAAGAUGAAAAGAACUUUGAAAAGAGAGUUAAAGAGUACCUGAAACUGCUGAAAGGGAACCGAAUCGUUUCCAGUGUCUAUAAUCCGUGGUAUAUUUCAUUGGCGAGUGUGUGCGUGCGUGUGCUGUGGCAGCGGCUUUUUUGGCUGCGCUCGGCGUGUGUGCUGUGUGUGCUUGCUGGUGCCCUGUGCUGCGGUGGGACGUCAAGGUCAGUUCGUAUGCUGCGGGAAAUGGCCGCCGAGGAGGUAGGGCUUACGCUUGCGUUUGUCUGUUAUAUCUUGGUGGACGAGUAGUCGCGGUUGGGACUGAGGUGCCUACAACGUGUUUUUGAGUGGGCCUGUGUCUCUGUGUGCGCCGUGUGCGGAUAGCUU